GAUGAACGCUAGCGACAGGCCUAACACAUGCAAGUCGAGGGGCAGCACAAGGAGCAAUCUGAGGUGGCGACCGGCGCACGGGUGAGUAACACGUAUGCAACCUGCCUGUAAGCGGGGGAUAACCCGUUGAAAGACGGACUAAUACCGCAUAAUACUGGAGAUCUGCAUGGAUAUUCAGUUAAACAUUUAUGGCUUACAGAUGGGCAUGCGCAUGAUUAGAUAGUUGGAGAGGUAACGGCUCCCCAAGUCAACGAUCAUUAGGGGUUCUGAGAGGAAGGUCCCCCACACUGGUACUGAGACACGGACCAGACUCCUACGGGAGGCAGCAGUGAGGAAUAUUGGUCAAUGGACGCAAGUCUGAACCAGCCACGUCGCGUGAAGGAAGACGGCCCUACGGGUUGUAAACUUCUUUUGUAAGGGAAUAAAGUGUAGUACGCGUACUAUUUUGCAUGUACCUUACGAAUAAGGAUCGGCUAACUCCGUGCCAGCAG
rnacentral:rRNA from 1 species